CACGCCGUAAACGAUGAGUACUAGGUGUAGGGGGUAUCGACCCCCCCUGUGCCGCAGUAAACACAAUAAGUACUCCGCCUGGGAAGUACGAUCGCAAGAUUAAAACUCAAAGGAAUUGACGGGGACCCGCACAAGCAGCGGAGCAUGUGGUUUAAUUCGAAGCAACGCGAAGAACCUUACCUGGACUUGACAUCUCCUGAAUAGUGUAGAAAUACAUGAAGCCCUUCGGGGCAGGAAGACAGGUGG
rnacentral:rRNA from 1 species